UGAUGUUCAAGCACUGCCUUCCAUACAAGGAAGAGAGAACGGCUCCGCAAGUCUGUACGAGCGCCGCCUUAUCUGAUACAGCGCCUCAGCCUCUUCUACGAACACGUCGGCAAACUUGGAGAUGGCGUGUGGUUUGAGCUACAACCAGAGCCCGUUAAUGGCGAGACAAAAAUUGCCACUACACAGGCAGACAACAGUUUAAUAUUUUUAAAGCUGGAAGAUGAUCACAAAGACUAUAACGAAUGAAAGAGAAACGGUUUUUGCGAUUGUCAGCACACUGGUGAAUUGCUUUCAAAUACAAAUUUUGAAAACUGAAUCCCAAAACAUUACAUUGUCAUCUGG